GUACAUGUCCACACAUGUAGACAGCCUUCCUGUCACUUACCCAGGCAUGGCAGACGGAGCAGCAGCAGCUCACCUCACAAAUGGUUCCAGACCAAAUCUCUUGAUCUACACCCCGAUGAACACUUUCUGGUUUUUUUUCUGGAUGUGAAUGGAUUUGCCUGGCAAACGGUGAAAGUGGCUUUCCUGGGCCACUGGAUCAGCACAGUGUGAAAGUAAAAGAGACUUCUGGAACCCAUCAGUAGCCUUUCUUUGGAACCAUUCUGCUGCCACACAUCGCCCAGCCUUCAGAGACACAGAUGUCCUAUCUUGUCUAGUCUUUGGGGUGAGGACAGUGCCCUGUACCUGACCCACUAACUCAGUGCCCCACACAGGGUGCAGAGGGGAGUGUGGCAUCCAUGUGAUCCAUACGCAGUACAAGGACAAAGGUCCUACCCCACUGGCAGAGAGACAACGGCAAAGCACAUGAAGUUCAG